UACGUAGGGUGCGAGCGUUAAUCGGAAUUACUGGGCGUAAAGCGUGCGCAGGCGGUUCGCUAAGACAGGUGUGAAAUCCCCGGGCUUAACCUGGGAAUGGCGCUUGUGACUGGCGGGCUGGAGUACGGCAGAGGGAGGGGGAAUUCCACGUGUAGCAGUGAAAUGCGUAGAGAUGGGGAGGAACACCGAUGGCGAAGGCAGCCUCCUGGGCCAGUACUGACGCUCAUGCACGAGAGCGUGGGGAGCAAACAGG
rnacentral:rRNA from 1 species